rnacentral:lncRNA from 1 species
CAGGUACUGUUGUAUUGUUGGACAGUGGGUUACAUCGUCAUUCAUUGAAGGUAAGUCUUUGGCUAUGAUUAAUAAUGACGACAAAUCCAUGGUAUUCAUGUACGAAAAGAAAUUUAGAGAGCGCAUACACUAAAUAAAAUGUGUCGCGGACGUAAUGUCAAGAAAAACAAUUAACAACUCCCUAAAAAUAGAUGAACCCGAAUUGUAAGAUUCCAACACUACAACAAUUGUAUUACGAUGUUUUUUUCACUCGAGACAGUUAAAUGUGAAUAAUUAAGUGCAGGGAUUGCAGCAUAAAUAAUUAAAAUUGAACUGUUGAGACUGUAGAAAUAUCGUUACCCACAAUAUAUAGUAAUAAAAUCUGUUUCUAGAAUGAUUUGCAGCCUUCCUUUUCAAAUAUUUUCUGCAAAUUGUGUUCUUUAUAUGUGACGUCAUCAAGCAUAGGUCGCCAUUUCUAUGACAUCACAACAGGAAAUUAUAAAAAAAAAGUCCAGUCAAAGCUGAAGGCAGUUUUCAAACGAAAAUAUCAACAUCUAUGUAAACGACAGACAUAGAUCUUGAUAUUUUUGUUUGAACACUGCUCUCAUCUUUCUUUGACUUUGAUUCAUGAUCCAAAAAAUUGAAUUCUUGUUUGCACAUUAUUAUUUGUUUCCUCGGUUAUGUUUAAUGAUUUCUUGAUCAUCGUCUUUUAAAUGUAAAGAAGCAAAAUAUCAUGCAUAUUCAUAACAAGAACAAAUCACCCUGCAAUGCUAUGUAUCAAUCACGUAUUGCGAAAAUAUAUAAAAAAAAACAUUCAGCAAAACACUAAGGAUGUUCGCUUGUCGUGUUUUGGAAUUUUUGUCAGAUUUUCGAAAUCCUCUUGUUUUAUUCACUUGAAUGCCUUAUACAUUUUUGCCCAUUGAUCCCAUGUUUCUUUUUAUAAAUCUUUAACAUGUUUAAUUAUAAGUCAUCUGUUAAAGUUGUAUAAAAUCUUUGUUUUUUUAUUAGUUUUCUCGAGCUUAUGCUUGCCUAUGAUAAAGCUAGGAAAAAUCAAGAGAGAACAUUUUCCCGUCAAAACUUCAAUGGCUAAUAUUUCGAAAACAAGCACAUUGACUUACAUAUUUUUUUCGCUCAUUUUGUUCCUUUAUUAAUACCCCAUCAAUAUAUACUAGUGUUAUAAAAAGGUUUUUUAUUUUGAAACUGAGAAGCGAAUUCCCUCAACAUAAGAAGAAAAGAUUCAGUAACACGAAUCCAAUCAAAACACCGGGAAUUACUUAAGGUCCACCGGAAACGAAAGCUGUACAACAUCCACUUUAAACACAAUAUUUAUGAAUGAGAAUUCUGGUUGUUGCCAUAUUCCCCUAGAAUCACUAUGUGUUUAAUAGAAAUUGUACUUUUUUUCCAGUAUGACAAACGACAAAGGCUACAACCGAAAACCGCAUCUUAAGACCUCAAUCUGUAUAUUAUAGGAUUGAAACGAUAUUUGAACGUAUACAAAUUAUAAUAUUUAUUUGUACAAUCGUAUGAAUUUAAUCAUCAUCCUAAUCAAUCUUUAUUUUAACUUUACAUGUCAUGGAUAGCUGCAAGCAUUCUAUUUUACGCUGUUGUAGGAAGUACAGUUUUACUACCACGGCCAUAGCAAGACAACAUGAAGUUCGCAUUGUUGAUGCUGGUAUUUCUUGUCAUAGCUACAAGUAUUAACUAAUGAGUAACUGCAUGUAAGAUUCAGUGCUUGAUCCAGUAUCGUGUUCAAUUAACAAUUUUAAGUACUGGUUU